rnacentral:tRNA from 1 species
GGCUCUGUGGUGCAAUGGAUAGCGCAUUGGACUUCUAAUUCAAAGGUUGUGGGUUCGAGUCCCACCAGAGUCG